rnacentral:rRNA from 1 species
UACGUAGGGUGCAAGCGUUGUCCGGAAUUAUUGGGCGUAAAGAGCUCGUAGGCGGUCUGUCGCGUCGGACGUGAAAAUCAGGGCUCAACCCUGGACCUGCGUUCGAUACGGGCAGACUAGAGUUCGGUAGGGGAGACUGGAAUUCCUGGUGGAGCGGUGAAAUGCGCAGAUAUCAGGAGGAACACCCGUAGCGAAGGCGGCACUCUGGGCCGAUACUGACACUGAGGAGCGAAAGCGUGGGGAGCGAACAGG